CCAUGGGACUCGAAAAGCCUGUAAAUGUAUUACUAACGACUUUGCUUUGAAUCCAAAUUUCUUUCGACUUUGCAUGUAAAGCCCUUUUGGCAUGGACUUGUUACGACUGGAGAUAACCCCUUCAAACAAUCAAAACAAGGUCAUGUUAGGAACAGAAGGAGAACCUCGUCCUAACAUGAGCAAAAUGAAAGUCCGAUUAUUUUAAGAUCGGAUCGGGGGAGAGGCCCAUAUAACGGCCCUUAAGUGCCUCCAUGGUCAUGUUAGGAACAGGAGGAGAACAUCGUCUUAACAUGAGCACAAUGAAAGUCCGAUUAUUUUAAGAU
rnacentral:lncRNA from 1 species